rnacentral:rRNA from 1 species
CCUACGGGCGGCAGCAGUGAGGAAUAUUGGUCAAUGGACGAGAGUCUGAACCAGCCAAGUAGCGUGAAGGAUGACUGCCCUAGGGGUUGUAAACUUCUUUUAUAAAGGAAUAAAAUGAGGCACGUGUGCCUUUUUGCAUGUACUUUAUGAAUAAGGAUCGGCUAACUCCGUGCCAGCAGCCGCGGUAAUACGGAGGAUCCGAGCGUUAUCCGGAUUUAUUGGGUUUAAAGGGAGCGUAGAUGGGUUGUUAAGUCAGUUGUGAAAGUUUGCGGCUCAACCGUAAAAUUGCAAUUGAUACUGGCAGUCUUGAGUACAGAUGAGGUAGGCGGAAUUCGUGGUGUAGCGGUGAAAUGCGUAGAUAUCACGAAGAACACCGAUUGCGAAGGCAGCUUACUAAACUGUCACUGACAUUGAUGCUCGAAAGUGUGGGUAGCAAACAGGAUUAGAUACCCUAGUAGUC